UCUUUGCUUUCAAUUUUUUCUUCUUUCUUUUGCAAUUACUCUUAAACCUUUUGCUCUCAGAUCAUUCUUUCCCAAAAUUAUUAAAAAAAAAAAAACCUUCUUUCCCAAUCUCUCUUCGAACCUGAAGUAUAUACCUCUCCUUUCAAGAUCCGAUCAAUCCACUGCUUUGUCGAAGCUUGAUUGGAACAUUAACGGCAAAUACAACUGAUUACGCGAUGGGACCAUGACAACGCUGAUGGUUCAGGAAUGCAAGAAUUGAUGCCGCGUAAGCUAAGAGGAGAAUAGAAAGUUCGGUAGAACACAUAUUUGAAGAUGUUUUGGGCGUUAGGGUCAGAUUUCGAACGACAACAAUGAAGUUGAAGGCUCUCUUAUCUGAGGUGGUUGAUUGUAGUGUCUAUGUGACAUGUUAGCUAGACCGAUCAUUAGCUGUGAAGGAUGAGAUAUUCUGCUUGUUUGAAAGAGCUCUAGACAAUUUAGGGAGCUUGAGACAACAAUAUGGACUUGCCAAAUCUGGAAAUGGCGUAGACGGAAGAUCCACUGCAUGUUAUGAUUUCCAUUGCUCCUGCUUCUGAUUAUUUGAAGGAUUUAUGCAAAGUGAGUGUGUGGAAGAGUGAAGCAACAGAGCAGACUUCCCAAAGAGUUCCAUGACCAAGUGAAGGAUACAGGAAGGAAAAUUUGUUCCAGACCAACUUAAAAGAGAGUUACAUAAACUUUGGUAGAGCUAGAGGAAGAGCUAAGAGUUGCUUCUCUACAUGAUGAGAGGAGAUGGAUCUGCAUAAACUAAAUUGUUUGAGAGAAACUCUCAAAGAGGUGAGGAUAGCAGACAACAUAGCCAACAAUCUGAUGAUGAUAGUAUAUACAUGAAGUGGUUGGAGGCAUUAACAAGAAGGGAAACAUAUUUGGAUUAGGAUCUCAAGCAGCCACUAUCAAAGAAUCUUUGAAAUCCAGUGAAGUUUAGUUUUAGUUAUUUUCCGUUAUGUAUUUUCGUUAAAUCAAUUAUAUGUAUUUUUUUUGUGUUGGACAAUUUUAAGUCUGAUAUUAUUAUGUAGUGCUGUAGUAGCGCAUUUGAUACUUUGUAAGAAUGACAUACAUUUUUAUGUUAAUUUGCAAAUUUGGUGUCGA